GGGGGGAUGGCGCAGUCAGUAACAGGUUUGACUAUGCCUCGAGAGGAUGAGGGUUCGAUUCCCCCUACCCUCU